CGCUGGCGGCGUGCCUAAUACAUGCAAGUCGAACGGUCUUUCUAUGGAAGCUUGCUUCCACUGAGAAGAUAGUGGCGAACGGGUGAGUAACACGUGGGUAACCUGCCCAUAAGAGGGGGAUAACAUCCGGAAACGGGUGCUAAUACCGCAUAGUUUUCUUGAUCGCAUGAUUGAGAAAGGAAGACGGCCUUUGUGCUGUCGCUUAUGGAUGGACCCGCGGCGUAUUAGUUAGUUGGUGAGGUAACGGCUCACCAAGACGAUGAUACGUAGCCGACCUGAGAGGGUGAUCGGCCACAUUGGGACUGAGACACGGCCCAAACUCCUACGGGAGGCAGCAGUAGGGAAUCUUCCGCAAUGGACGAAAGUCUGACGGAGCAACGCCGCGUGAGUGAAGAAAGGUUUUCGGAUCGUAAAACUCUGUUGUCAGAGAAGAACAAGUUGGAGAGUAACUGCUCCAGCCUUGACGGUAUCUGACCAGAAAGCCACGGCUAACUACGUGCCAGCAGCCGC
rnacentral:rRNA from 1 species